GUGUACUUGGAGCAUGACCUGCUCAGUGUGUUGGAAGCACUACAUGGAUCAGCUGCCUGAACCAGAGCUGGAGGUGAUCAGCAGGACAACUGCACGACCCGGUUGCUAGGCAGCACACCAGCAUUUUACUGAAUGGCCCCCUGUAAGAUGAUGUCACAGAGCUGAAUGAUGUCACAGAACAUGUGAAGCACAGCUCCUGCACGCAGCUCCGGAAUGCACUGCGCUGGCUCCAGCUCUGCAAGCUUCCAGCAUGAUGAACUCUGCUCUCCUGCACUGCUCCAGAAGACCAGCCAGAAUACAAG